AGCCAGCACUAGGGAAAAUUGCGCAAUGGGCGAAAGCCAGACGCAGCGACGGCGGGUGAGGGAAGACGGCCUUCGGGUUGUAAACCUCUGUGGUAGGGGAAGAUGGUGACGGUUCCCGUGGAGGAAGCCCCCGCUAACUAC
rnacentral:rRNA from 1 species